GGCCUGAUGGUCUAGUAGUAUGAUUCCUUGUUAGGGUGAUUUUCUAACUUUCGAGGAGGUCCUGGGUUCAAUUCCCAGUCAGGCCC